UGCAGUCGAGCGGACAGAUGGGAGCUUGCUCCCUGAUGUUAGCGGCGGACGGGUGAGUAACACGUGGGUAACCUGCCUGUAAGACUGGGAUAACUCCGGGAAACCGGGGCUAAUACCGGAUGCUUGAUUGAACCGCAUGGUUCAAUUAUAAAAGGUGGCUUUUAGCUACCACUUACAGAUGGACCCGCGGCGCAUUAGCUAGUUGGUGAGGUAACGGCUCACCAAGGCAACGAUGCGUAGCCGACCUGAGAGGGUGAUCGGCCACACUGGGACUGAGACACGGCCCAGACUCCUACGGGAGGCAGCAGUAGGGAAUCUUCCGCAAUGGACGAAAGUCUGACGGAGCAACGCCGCGUGAGUGAUGAAGGUUUUCGGAUCGUAAAACUCUGUUGUUAGGGAAGAACAAGUACCGUUCGAAUAGGGCGGUACCUUGACGGUACCUAACCAGAAAGCCACGGCUAACUACGUGCCAGCAGCCGCGGUAAUACGUAGGUGGCAAGCGUUGUCCGGAAUUAUUGGGCGUAAAGCGCGCGCAGGCGGUUUCUUAAGUCUGAUGUGAAAGCCCCCGGCUCAACCGGGGAGGGUCAUUGGAAACUGGGGAACUUGAGUGCAGAAGAGGAGAGUGGAAUUCCACGUGUAGCGGUGAAAUGCGUAAAGAUGUGGAGGAACACCAGUGGCGAAGGCGACUCUCUGGUCUGUAACUGACGCUAAGGCGCGAAAGCAUGGGGAGCGAACAGGAUUAGAUACCCUGGUAUCCACGCCGUAAACGAUAAGUGCUAAGUGUUAGAGGGUUUCCCCCUUUAGUGCUGCAGCAAACGCAUUAAGCACUCCGCCUGGGGAGUACGGUCGCAAGACUGAAACUCAAAGGAAUUGACGGGGGCC
rnacentral:rRNA from 1 species